rnacentral:rRNA from 1 species
UACGGGGGGUGCGAGCGUUGUCCGGAAUCACUGGGCGUAAAGGGCGCGUAGGUGGUCUGAUAAGGGUGUGGUGAAAGCCCGGGGCUCAACCCCGGGUCGGCCGUGCCGACUGUUAGACUAGAGUACUGUAGGGGCAGGCGGAAUUCCGGGUGUAGCGGUGGAAUGCGUAGAGAUCCGGAAGAACACCGGUGGCGAAGGCGGCCUGCUGGGCAGUUGCUGACACUGAGGCGCGACAGCGUGGGGAGCAAACAGG